AUCCCUUGACAUGUCGUGCCAUCCGGAGAGAUCCGGGGUUCCCUUCGGGGACGCGAACACAGGUGCUGCAUGGCUGUCGUCAGCUCGUGUCGUGAGAUGUUGGGUUAAGUCCCGCAACGAGCGCAACCCACGUCCUUAGUUGCCAUCAUUCAGUUGGGCACUCUAGGGAGACUGCCGGUGAUAAGCCGCGAGGAAGGUGUGGAUGACGUCAAGUCCUCAUGGCCCUUACGGGAUGGGCUACACACGUGCUACAAUGGCGGUGACAGUGGGACGCGAAACCGCGAGGUUGAGCAAAUCCCCAAAAACCGUCUCAGUUCAGAUUGCACUCUGCAACUCGAGUGCAUGAAGGCGGAAUCGCUAGUAAUCGUGGAUCAGCA
rnacentral:rRNA from 1 species